rnacentral:rRNA from 1 species
CCUACGGGUGGCUGCAGUGAGGAAUAUUGGUCAAUGGCCGCAGGGCUGAACCAGCCAAGUCGCGUGAGGGAUGACGGUCCUAUGGAUUGUAAACCUCUUUUGUCAGGGAGCAAAGGGCGCCACGCGUGGCGCUUUGCGAGUACCUGAAGAAAAAGCAUCGGCUAACUCCGUGCCAGCAGCCGCGGUAAUACGGAGGAUGCGAGCGUUAUCCGGAUUUAUUGGGUUUAAAGGGUGCGCAGGCGGAAUGUCAAGUCAGCGGUAAAAUUGCGGGGCUCAACCCCGUCGUGCCGUUGAAACGGGGGGUCUUGAGUGAGCGAGAGGUAUGCGGAAUGCGUGGGGUAGCGGUGAAAUGCAUAGAUAUCACGCAGAACUCCGAUUGCGAAGGCAGCAUGCCGGCGCUCAACUGACGCUGAUGCACGAAAGCGUGGGGAUCGAACAGGAUUAGAUACCCUGGUAGUC